rnacentral:rRNA from 1 species
AUACGUAGGUGACAAGCGUUAUCCGGAUUUACUGGGUGUAAAGGGCGUGUAGGCGGUUUAGCAAGUCAGAAGUGAAAUUCCCGGGCUUAACUUGGGCGCUGCUUCUGAAACUGCUUUACUUGAGUGCAGGAGAGGAUAGUGGAAUUCCUAGUGUAGCGGUAAAAUGCGCAGAUAUUAGGAGGAACACCGGUGGCGAAGGCGGCUAUCUGGACAGUAACUGACGCUGAGGCGCGAAAGCACGGGGAGCAAACAGGAUUAGAUACCCUGGUAGUCCGUGCCGUAAACGAUGAAUACUAGGUGUAGGGGGUAUCGACUCCCUCUGUGCCGCAGUUAACACAUUAAGUAUUCCACCUGGGGAGUACGGCCGCAAGGUUGAAACUCAAAUGAAUCGACGGGG